rnacentral:rRNA from 1 species
GAGUUUGUCGCUUGGUCGGGCUUCACUGUCCGCACUGGCCUGAUGGAUCCCUACCUUCUGAAUAACCAGCAUGCUAUUAAGUUAGUGCGUUGGGGAAGCAGAGCUAUUACCUUGAAAAAAUUAGUGUGCUUAAAGCAGGCUUAUGCUUGAAUAGAUUAGCAUGGAAUAAUAAAAUAGGACGGCAUGGUUCUAUUUUGUUGGUUUUCAGGACCAAAGUA